UCUGUGCCGGACACGUGAUGAGAUGGGGAAGGUCAUGCUGUCCUUCCUCCACGUGGGAAGCAUGGAAAAAAAAAGCCCAGGCUGCUAAUAAAACUGCUGCGCAUCCUAUAGGGUUGCUACAUUCUUUUACUGUGAUUCUGCCAGUCGUUGCUGAGUUUGGAAUGGCAAGGGGAGGGGUGCAUGUCCAUCAGUGACACCCAACUGUGCCCCAGGAUCAGGCAUCAGGCUGUGGGGUCUUGCAGUGUCCCUUCUAAUGGUAUACAGAAGGCUUGAUGUGGUCCUUUCCCCACUCUAUAGCUUAUAGCUGAGCUGUCCCCUGCCAUCCCUAUGUGUUUCUAGCAGAGGUGCAGCUGCUAUAGAAGGGGCAGGGAUGGAUCAGCUGGGCUCCAACUCCUGUCUCGGGCUUGGCCACCACAACUGCCCAGUCUUCCUACAUGUACAGUGAUGGUGGGGACAGAGGCAGACCCCGUCCAAGAACCACAGUGGAGUAGGGUUGGCACGGACUUCUGAAGGUCAUCUGGUGCCACUCAGAUCAUCUGCCCCAGCCCCAUGCCCACGUUUCCCAGGAAAGGAGCUCACAAACCUCUGAGGGCAGCCUGUGCCGCCGCUGGGUCCCUGCACAGCCCAAGCGUUUGCUGACGCUCAGAUGGAGCCUGCCGUGCUCCAGUCUGUGCCCACUGCCUCCUCCUGUCCCCGGGCAACGCUAAGCUCGGAUCCGUCCUCUCUGCCCCGCCCUGCUGGCCAUAACGGACACGGAGUCCCUUCCGCGGUCGGGACGCGAGGGCAGCCUGCAGGACGCAGCCCGGCCGCUCCGCACCACGCGAGCACACCGCCGGCACACGCGGAGCCGAGGCACGGCGAGGGAGCCGAACGCGGCACGGACGCCGCCCGCCCGGGAAGCGGAGGAACCGUCCGAGGCGUCGAGAGCCGCUUCGCCCUUCGCAGAGAGCCGCGGCACGCAGACGGGCGCUCGCCUUCGGCACGGGGAGAGCAUCGCAGAGAAGAUGCGCCUUCUGCUCACAAGAAGGUGAGCCACUGA
rnacentral:lncRNA from 1 species